rnacentral:rRNA from 1 species
CGUACUGGCAUUGUUGGUUUCUCCCUUCUGACGAACCAUGAUGUCAUUUAUUUGGUGUUGUGGGGAAUCAGGACUGUUACUUUGAAAAAAUUAGAGUGUUUAAAGCAGGCUCACGCUUGAAUACAUUAGCAUGGAAUAAUGAAAUAGGACGUUUGAUUCUAUUUUGUUGGUUUCUAGGAUUGACGUAAUGAUUAAUAGGGAUAGUUGGGGGCAUUAGUAUUCAAUUGUCAGAGGUGAAAUUCUUGGAUUUAUUGAAGACUAACUACUGCGAAAGCAUUUGCCAAGGAUGUUUUCAUUAAUCAAGAACGAAAGUUAGGGGAUCGAAGACGAUCAGAUACCGUCGUAGUCUUAACCAUAAACUAUGCCGACUAGGGAUCGGAUGAUGUUAAUUUUUUAAUGACUCAUUCGGCGCCUUACG